rnacentral:rRNA from 1 species
AGCUCCAAUAGCGUAUAUUAAAGUUGUUGCAGUUAAAAAGCUCGUAGUUGGAUUUCUGGUAGGAGUAGUGGCUAUGGGUCUUUGACCUAUGAAGUUGCUAUCUUCAACCAUCCUUGAAGAGAUUUAGUUUGGCAUUAAGUUGUCGAACUAAAGAUAUUCAUCUUUUACUGUGAAAAAAUCAGAACGUUCAAAGUAAGCAUUUAGCUUUGAAUGUAUUAGCAUGGAAUAAUGAAAUAGGACUUAGGUACUACUUUGUUGGUUUAUGCACCUAGGUAAUGAUUAAUAGGGAUAGUUGGGGGUAUUCGUAUUCCAAUGUUAGAGGUGAAAUUCUUGGAUUUUUGGAAGACGAACAACUGCGAAAGCAUUUACCAAGGAUGUUUUCAUUA